rnacentral:rRNA from 1 species
GUAGUCNUAUGCUUGUCUCAAAGAUUAAGCCAUGCAUGUCUAAGUAUAAGCAAUUAUACCGCGAAACUGCGAAUGGCUCAUUAUAUAAGUUAUCGUUUAUUUGAUAAUACUUUACUACUUGGAUAACCGUGGUAAUUCUAGAGCUAAUACAUGCUAAAAAUCCCGACUUCGGAAGGGUUGUAUUUAUUAGAUUAAAAACCAAUGCCCCUCGGGGCUCUCUGGUGAAUCAUGAUAACUAGUCGAAUCGACAGGCCUUGUGCCGGCGAUGGCUCAUUCAAAUUUCUUCCCUAUCAACUUUCGAUGUUUGGGUAUUGUCCAAACAUGGUGGCAACGGGUAACGGAGGGUUAGGGCUCGACCCCGGAGAAGGAGCCUGAGAAACGGCUACUACAUCCAAGGAAGGCAGCAGGCGCGCAAAUUACCCAAUCCCGACACGGGGAGGUAGUGACAAUAAAUACUGAUACAGGGCUCUUUUGGGUCUUGUAAUCGGACUGAGUACAAUUUAAAUCCCUUAACGAGGAACAAUUGGAGGGCAAGUCUGGUGCCAGCAG